UUAAUUAGUUCUAAAAUCGGUGUCAAGGGAGGGGGAGAGGAGGAUGUAGCAUUGGGAUUAGAAGGAUCAGGCGGAAGGUCAUAAGCAAAAAGAGGCACACUGGCCCAUUGAAGCCAAUCGAUAUUAGAAACGGGAAUUGACUCUUUUUCACAUUGUUGAUUAAGCUCGAAAAUGAUUGAUUGAAUACGUGAAUCGUUAAUGGCGCUAUUUAAAUCGCCGUGAGACUUGUAGGAAUCGCGUAAUUGUUCAAAUUCUGUUUGAUUAUUAUUUAUUUUGGAGGAUGAAAUAUUGGUAGAUGCAGUUGACAUAAAGGAUGGAACAGGGGAAUGACCUUGAA